AAAGCAUGAAUUGAAGAGGAAAGAAAAGAACACAAACCCUUGGUGGGAAAAUUGAAGAAAAAGUGUGGGAUUUCAAGGGAUUAAUCUAAUAAAGGUAAAAUUUUAUGAUUUUCUCUUGUGAUUUACACUACCAGUGCUUUCUUUUUUGUUUUCCAUGCUUAGAACUCAAGUUUGCAUGAUGAACCCAUGCUGGCCAAAUUUGAGAGGAGAGGUUUUAAGCAUUGAUUUGGCUAGAUUUCAAGCUAAUUAAGUAUUUUUGGUUGUUUGGUAAUGGAAAGUAUGAAAAUCUAGCAAGGAAUAACUUUGUUCUUCACAAACCCAUAAGAGACCAAAUUUUCUAGGGAGGAUAUUGAGGCUAAAAUUGAUGAUAUUUCAUGAUAUAUUGGCGAUAUUUAAUGAUGGAUGAGGCUAGAAAUUUAAUGAGAAAUUUUGGCAUGAAAAUCUAAAUUUUUACCUAAUAUAUAGACAUGUGCGAUUUAUGGUCCGGAUUGAUAAAUUGAAUCAUAUUCAUAGUCAUUGAGGUAUUUUAACUAUAAUUGGAGUGUAGAAAGUGAAAGAAAUCAAUUUGGAGUUAAAUUGGAGGUUUUAGCCAAUUACACCGAGAAUAGUGCGAAUUAGGUCGAAUACCGUAUUUAAACGGCUAUUCGGACAUUUUGCAUCACAUUUCAUGCAUUCAUAUAGAUUUAUAGAGCUUGAAAUAGUUUAUGAUAAAUUAACAGGAUUUAUUGAAAUUUGUGUCACAUAUGAUGUAUAGGUUGUGAGCCCUCUAACAAGGGUAAAGAGAUUGUGCUCGAAGACUGGGAAUAGGAGUAUAUCGAACUCCUAGUAUUGUGAGUAACCUUACUAUCGUCUUAAUUAUCUAAAGUGGUUUUUAUGUGAUUUUGUGAAUUUCAUGGAAAAUGAAUUAAAUGAUUAAUUUUUCGAUUUGAUAAGCCAAAUGUGAUUUAAUGAAAUGAUUUCAUAAAAUUGUUUUAAAAUUGAAUAAUGGCUUUGAAAAUAGAGUAAUUGGAGACCAUUUGAUGUAUUGUGAAUUUAUGGUUCUAAUUGAUUAGCUUAUGACAAUAUUGGUAUGAAUGGCUGAAUUGGUAUUUGUGUUGAAAUAUAUAUGAACUGUGUAAUUAGCCUUGAAAGGCUGUGAAUUACAAUAAUUGCCAUGUCAUGCUGUUAAAUUUUAUUGAUGGGUGGGAUAAUUGUUAGCUAACUGCAGUGAGCGGGUUCUGUGGACCAACCUACUAGAGGGGCACGGUAACCCCGUUAUAUUAUUACCUCAGUAUGAGAGGCGCGGGUGGAUAACUCCUGAGGUUAACACUUUUAGAGUUCACUUCACGUCAAACCACCACAUGAGGGGGAACUCAGUCAACGCCAAGGAACGGCUAUGUUUUCAAAAUAAAAACAUAAUUUAUGCGUACAUGACUUUUUAACAGCCUUGGCGGACUCGGUUGAGAUAGCCCUCAAUCAAGGUAUCCCUGAUAAUUUGGUAUGAGAAUAAAUUUUGGCACGAGCCAAAGUUUUAAGAAAUUCAUAAGCCAUGUUGAUUACUUGAUUUAUAAGAAUUGAUUUUAUUUGGUUGAAACAAGUUGAAAGGUGAUGAAUUUCAGUAUGUUAAAUGUUUUAUCUUUCUCCAUUUACUCAACUUUAAAUGGUUUAGAUGGUAUCUAUUUACUCACUGGAACUUUAUAAUCUCAUCACCCUCUUUUUCAACCAUUUCAAGCCCGAGGUAGCCUGCGGAUAGUAGAUAUCGUCAAGGAUUAUAGUCGACUUUACUACUCCAAAAACUGUAAGUUUACUACCUUUGUGCACUUUUGUUCAUUGUGGGCCCAUGAGUCACUGUAAUGUAAAUUUUAUAUCUCAAUUCUCUGUAUUAUAGUAUGUAUGAAUUUAUUUAGCUUUUACAUUACAAAAAUUAUUUACCGAUGACUCUAUAAAUAUUGUUUUAUAAGAAAUUAGAAUAUUUUAUUCAAAUAGUUGGAAUAUCAUUUUUAAUAAAUGUUUUAGACACCCAAAUUUAUUUUAAAUCAUGAAAUAUGUGUUUUCGACUAAUCUACUACAUCUUUAGUCAGGUUCGAAAAAUUUCGAGGAAAAAUGAUGAAAACGCCCCUGUGAGGUGAAAAUUAUUUUUCCACGAUUUUGAAAGGGAAAAAUCUUAAAAUUCUUUAAAAAUGAGGCUUGGCGAUGAUUACUCAUAGGGGAGAUGAAAAAAAUGGUACUAAAGCCUUGCGGGGUUCCGGUUGGCACUCCGGGUAACGAAUGUCUACCGGGGUGUCGCGAUGAUUGUCACUGGUUCGAGCGGAGUACCAGGUCAUGGCAAUUUUCAACGGAUAUAAACUGCCAAACUGCCAUCAGAGUUGAAAUAUUGUUAAGAGCCAAAUUGUGCUAUUCACCCCACCUCUAACACAUAUUAUAGGGACCAACAGCCACAGGUUGGCAAAUGGUAAUAUUAUUUUGUGAACGCUAUAUGUUCAGUUGCCAUGAUUUAUUCUUGAAAAUAAAUUAUUUUGAUCAUUAUGAAUUAAGAACCUUAGAGGUAAAUGAAGGACAGAUGGUCUAAUGAGCAAGUUUUCAUAGAAAGGCUUGAUUGGGCUUGAUGGGCUAUGCCUAUUGGGUCCAUGCGUUGGUCAUGGCCCGAGAUUGGGUUGUGACAUUCCUCCACUUGGGAUUGUAGGUGUUGAAAUAUGGGUUAUUCUGCUGUAUAUUCCCUACAAAUUCAACUGUCUUUGUAUUGCUUGGACACUAACUAUGCCAACCUCUUUUGCACUUUUCAUCCACAAAAUAAAGAUUAAGGCUUAUUCCAUUAACCAUGAAUGUGCUAGUAUCCUUACUAUCAAUCUCUAUUUUACCACAAGGAUAAACCUUUACCACAUUAAAAGGACCUAACCAUCUUACCUUGCAUUUCAUGAAAAAAGUUUCAAGCUUGAAUUAGAAAGUAACACUUACUAUCGAACCUCAAAAUCAAGACAAUUGAGAGGUGGUGGAAAAUGCUCCUUAUGCAACUACUUGGUUAUGAAAUAUGGAAGACAUAGCUUUAACUCAAAGAUUGGUGCUUCCUCACUUGUAAGUGAAGAAAUAAGCUUACCUUUGCCCUCAUCACCUAAAUCAACUCUAUAGCAACUAUCUGUAGAGGCAAGAUGCUUACUUGCAUUGGAAAUAUAAAACUUGACUAUCUCCUCUCCAACUUUAAAAGUUAUCUCGUCUUCCUUAAUGUUAAUGAUUGUGCCUACAGUAAGUAAGAAUUGUUGUCCCAAGAUUAAAGGAAUUCCACAUCCUUUUAUAUUUCAAGCACAAUGAAGUCCAUCGAAAUGUAGAGAUCCUCAACUUUAACCGACACAUCCUCUAUAAUCUCAAUAGGGUACUGAUUGUUUUGUAUGCUACCUAUAAGGUAACUAUAGUGGGCUGAAUCUCAUUAAGUUCAAGUUUCCUAGUAAUAGACAUAGGCAUAGUUGAAACACCAACACCCAAAUCACACAAAGCGUAAGAAAAUUUAACACUACCAAUAGUACAAAGGAGAGAAAAACUCCUUAGAUCCUUAAGCUUUGGUGUAAGUUUAUUCUGCAUUAUGGAACUGCAUUCUGCAGUAAAUGCAACUGUCUCAAAAUCUUCUAAUUUCCUCUUUCUAGUCAGAAUGUCUCUUAAGAACUUCACAUAAGUAGGCAUUUGUUCUAAUGCUCCUAUAAAAGGAAUGUUAAUGUGGAGCUUCUUAAAUAGCUCUAAAAAAUUAUGGAAUUAACUAUCAAGCUUCUAUCAUUACAAAAGUUGAGGGAAAGGUAGUGGUGGUCGUGAUGGAUUUGAUUGGGUUCUCUCACCUUAAGCUUGUUCCUCAGAAUUUUCAACCAUUGUUUCUUUUUCAACAUGCUUACCCAGAAAUUCUGAUUGGAUACUACUACCUUUUAACUCUUUCCUAUUUUUAAGUAUAAUUGCAUUGUAAUGCUUUUUAUCUUUUCUUCUAGGAUUGGCUUUAGUAUCAUUAGGUAAAGUCCCCUAAGGCAUAUUCUUGAUGGCAUUGGCAAGCUGAUCCACUUGUGUUUCAAGAUUUCUGUUAAACUUAAUGCUUCAUUUGAGUCUAAUUUUUGAUUCGACAAAAAAGUGAUCAAAAUUGAUUUUUAUAUGUCUAAAUAAGCCCAAAUUGUCCUUUAAACGGGUUUAAUAAAAGAGCUAAGCACUUUAAAUAGAAAACAAGCAAAAAGUCUCUUCAAAUUUGAAAAAGCUAUCAAUUAAUUGAUAAUGUUCUUCAUUUAUAGAUAGAUAAGUUCAUCUAUCAAUGGAUGAAGAAAAUCUAUCAAUAGUUGAUUGUUUUAGCAGUUGGACUUCAAAGACUAUGAACAUUUAUUGAUAGAUAACCAAUCGAGAAUAAUAUAAAAAGACCGUGACUUGAAUCUAUCAAUAGAUAAGGACACGAGCACAUUUCAAAAAGACCCUGACUUGCAAUUAUCGAUAGAUAUGCCACAUUUAUUGGUAGAUAGCCCCCAAAGACAUUUCAAAAUGAUCUUGAGUUGAAUUUAUCGAUAGAUACUUCUAUUUAUCAAUAGAUAGGUGCAAAUUUAAAGAUUAUUUAAGGUAAUCUAUUGAUAGAUCAAGAAAUCUAUCAAUAGAUGAUGACAGUUGAAGCUAAAAUAAGGUCUUGAAUGGUUAUUUUCACAUUUAAUGCACUCUUAACUACCUCUAAAGCUUUAGCAACUAUAAAUUCAAGCUCCCACAACAUUUAUGAAGGUUGGAAGACUAUAAAAUACAACUCCAAAAUAAAGAAUUCAACAAAAAUCAUUCAAUAGUUUUUGUACUCUUCGUCUAGCAUUUAAGUCUUCUAUUAUAGCAUUUAUUGAGCCUUCAUUGCUUGUUCUUUUCUUGAACAAACAUUGUACUUAACUUGUUAUUCAACCUUUAAGAGGCAUUCUAGCUACUCUUACAUUCCUCUUAAUAUGUUUACUUAAGUGGUUAUUUCUUAACCAAGAUAAAAGGUAGAGUGGUUGUGCUUUAACCAUAAAAAGGCAUUAUAUCGAAAGGUUGUGCUUCAUCCACAAAAAGAAUUGUAUUGAAUUCUAUUUCAAUAGUGGAUUUUUAACUCCUUAGUGAAUCUAAGGGAAAAGACGUAAGCAAUGAGGCCAAACCUUUAUAAAAAUUAGUGUGUUGAUUUUUCCUUCUUUUUACUCUUUUAAUUUCACUUGUGUUUCCAACCUCUUUCUCUUUACAAGAAAUCAGUUGUCUUACUUAUUUUCAAAUUGGAAAUUAGCUUAAGAGAAUCAUAUUUUCUCAAAAUUGAAAAGGAAUUUUAAAAUUUUAAAAACAUUCUAAUUCACUACCUCUCAAAGUUAUUCACAUUAAGCUUGUUGAACUAACAAUCAGUAUCAAAACAAGGGCUCAAUUUUACAAGUCUAACAACCUUGAGUGAUCCACAAGCAAAGGUCAACACUUCAAGAUGGAAUCCACCUCAACUAUUCUUGGUGAAGGACACUCAACUCAGAGACCUACAUUCUUCUCAAGUGCAAAUUACCCUUAUUGAAAGAACAAAAUAAAGAUGUUUAUUUAAUCAAUAGAUCUUGAUGAGUGGAAUGUUAUCUUAGAUGGUCUUUAUGUCCCCACUAAGGAAGUAGAUGGAAAAAAAUAGUAAAAACUAAGACAGAGUGGGAUGACAAAGAAAAGAAGUUGAUGCAAACAAAUUACAAGGUCUUUAAUACACUCCUUUAUUAUAUAAGGCUAGUGAAUUCAAUAGAGUAUCAAUGUGUGAAACAACCAAACAAAUUUAAGUUACUUUGAAAACAACAUAUGAAGGAACAAACUAAGUUAAGGAAUCCAAAAUAAGACUUCUCACACAUGAUUAUGAGCUACUUUGGAUGAAAAAAAGUGAAACUAUAAACCAAAUGUAUGAGAGAUUCACAAACAUAGUUGGAGGAUUGAAGGCCUUAGGAAAAGAUUUCCCAAUUGCCUAAUUAAUAAAAAAGAUACUCUAUAGAUUUCCUAAAUGCCCAAUUAGUUAAAAAGAUACUCUAUAGUCAUUCCAAGUCAUGGAGACAAAAAGUAACAACCAUAGAGGAGGCAAGAAACUUAAAUGAUUUUAAGUUAAAAAAGCUUAUAAGAUCCCUACUUACCUAUGAGAUGACUUUAAAACAUGAAAGUGCUUUGGAUGAUGGAAAGAAUGAGGACAUUAAGAAGAAAGGGAUAACUUUAAAAUCCAAAUUUGAAGAAAAAGAAAGGAGUGUAAGAUAUGAGAGUGAAAAAGAUAAAGGUGUAGCCAUGCUAGCCAAAAGGUCUAGUAAAUUUAUGUUAAAUAACUAUAGAGGUAGAAGAUCCAUUGGAAUAUAUAUGUCAAAGGGAGAACAUAGUAAAGAUCAUUUAAUAUGCUAUGAGUGUAGAAAAAUAGGACACACUAAAUAUGAAUGCUCAAACAAGAAUAGUACCUCAAAGAAUUUCAUGAAAAAAGCCAUGGUUGCCACUUAGAGUGGCAGUAACGGCUCUUAAGAUUGAGAAGAUGAAGUUGCCAACCUUUGCUUCAUGGCAAUUGAAGACACCAAGGUAUGCUCCACCUUUCAUGACUCUAGUUCAAGCACUUUCGACCAAGACUCAUAUCCAUUUGAUGACCUACAAGAUGCAUAUUAUGACUUCGUAUUCGAAUUUGUAGAAAAGACAUUGAAAUAAAAGAACAUCAUAUCCAAGUUUAAGGUAGAAAAUGACUUAAAAAUUGUGACAAGUGAUCUAAAAUAGAAAAAUGAGAACUUUCAUGUUACACUUUGAAAAUUCAACAAGAGUUAACAAAAAUUAAAUAACACGCUAGAAACACAAAAAGCAUUCUUUUACAAAGAAAGAAUAUGCUAUGAUGGUACUCAAAAGGAAACUUGGUUUAAAAAUUUCUUUGUUAAAGGAAAUGAAAAAUAUGACUCAUUCACUAUAUGUAUUUGUUUUCAUAAAGUAGGACAUUCUAAUCAUUCUUGCCUUGUGAAAACUACCACUUAUAGAGGUAAGAUAUCAAAAGUGUAUGGGUUGCCAAAGAGACCAAACCUCUAAAAGUAACCAAAGACAUUAACUCAUAUAGACCUAAGAAAAUUUGGCUAUCAAAGUCAAAUGAUUGAAUUUUUAUCUUUGUAGGAGGAUCACACUUCCAUAAAGUCAAAAGCCCAAGAAAGAAGAAAAUGGCCUCUUGAUAGUGGAUGCUCUAUACACAUGAUCAGAGCCAAGAGUCUUUCAAGGAAUUAACGCCAAAGAAAGGAGGAAAUAUAACUUUUGGUGACAACUUAAAAGGUCACAUUGAAGAUAUUAGUACCAUUGGUAAAAAUGUCUCUUUUUAAAUUGAAAAUGCCUUAUUUAUAAAUAUUCUGAAGCAUAAAUUGUUGAGUGUUAGUUAGCUUUGUGGCAAGGGUUUUAGUCAUAUUUGAAUGAUUAACUUGUCAAGUUGUUGAUAUUAAAACAAAUGAAACUUUCUUUGUUGGUGAUAGACAAGGUAAUACAUAUGUUAUUUUCUUGGAUGAUUUAUCUUUUAACAAUAUAUGUUUCAUGGCUAAAAGGAAUGAAGAUAGUUGGUUAUCGCAUAGGAAUUUAGGAUAUGCUAGCAUGAAUACCAUUUCAAAACUAUUAUCUCUAAACCUUGUAAAAGAACUCUCUAAAUUAAACUUUGAAAAUGACCAACUUCUUGAUGCUCGUGCUAAAGGCAAACAUAAGAGGAGUUCAUUUAAAUCUAAAAAGGAUGUAACUACCAUUAGAGCCUUAUAAUUACUUGACAUAAAUCUUUUUGGACCAACUAAGACCACUAGCUUAGAUGAAAAGAAUUAUAGUUUACUAGUGUAACACCUUAAUUUUUGAUGUAAAAAUCAAGUUAAAUGAUAAUGAUCCAUUAAGUAUAUUGCAUCUCAAUGACAUUGAUGAUAUGUUAUGUAUGCUGAGUAUUUAACAAUGUACACGUGGACACUUAGGCAAAAAUUUUGUGGAAAUGUAUGAUGAAUCUUAUGAUUUGGGGUUUUAAUUUGCAUGUGAUAUGAUAAUUGAGGAUAUGUAUUUGUGUGUGUUGAAUUUAAGAAUGAUUGAGGUUGUGGAAGAAGUUUAGGAAGAGUUUAGGCAUGGUAGAAAGCCAUUUUUAUGAAUCUGGACUUGAAACAUCAAUAAUGCUGGUCUAGGAUCAAAUAUGGGAUCUUUAUAGUCAAUCCUAGGAAGGAAAAAUGGGAGAAAUGCAAGCACACUAGUCCAAGAUUGGCUAUAGAGCUUCCGUAGUCGAUCUAGUGAAGAAAAGUCGAGUGGAACUGGACAUUCUGGUGGUAAAAUCGACUAUAGGUCCAUUAUAGUCGAUCUUGGGAAGGGAAAUGAGAGAUAUCUAUCAGUUAGAUUCGACUACAAACUUUCCGUAGUUGACCUUAGGCUACCAAAUCAGCUUAAAUAAGGGCUUAAAAGCCCUAAAACUGAACCUUUCUCAUUUUAUCUCUUUUUCUUUCAUUCUUUCACCAUUUUCUCUCAAAUUUUACCCCCUUCAAAGCCAUUCAAAUUCAUAACUCUAUUAUAUAGAGUUAUUUUGACACAUUUUGAGGACUUUAGUAACUAGACUUUUGAGUUUUAGGAUUGAAUUUUGACAUUUUAGGUGUUUUUCUAAUGUAAGUUAGAUUACAUGUUGAAUUGUUAAAUUAAGUGGUGCUAGUUUAAUUUUACCUUAUUUUGUUUUUAAUUUGCUUUAAGAAAAGUUAAUGUCAAUUUCUCUCAUGGUUUUGUGCAAGAUAUGUGAUGGGCAAAGUGAAAUUAAGUUAUGAUAGCCUAAGUAUGGUGAAGGUGUCACUCAUAUAUGUUGUAGUAAUUUAAAGAUAACUUGAGCUGUAAAAGUCUAAUUAAUGUGAUCUUUAGUUCAUUGGAAAGAUGGGAUAAUGGGUUACAAUUUUCACUUUUACCACUUCACCUAGUUCAGACUAGAUUAAGGUGAAAGUCACGUCCAAAGAUGAUAAAAAAAAAAAGUUAUGAACACAAGGGAGCAUGGUGACUGAGGUCGCAGCAUUGAGUUACUCAUGGUCGCAGCACUAAAGGAACAAACUCCAUAGCACUGGAAGAUUGUGGCCAUAGUGUUGGGAUGGAAGGGUGCACCAAACUAAUGUCUAACAGUAGACUAUCAAGGCGUUACCAAAGCUUGUCACGACUCCAAGAAAUCAAGGCCGUGGUGCCACCCUAGUUUCCAAAAUUAAAAAUUUUGACGAGAAAUUGAAAAGUAAGGCACCUUGCACAUAUUUAAAAGCCCUUUUUGAGAGCAUUUAGAGGAGAGACAAUAACAGCUUUUCUUGAGAAAGAGAGAUAAGAAUCAAGCAAGAAUUCGAGAGUAAUUGAGAGAGUUUCGAGAUUAACCAGGCUUUGACAUUAGUUUAUUUCUCUUCUUUUGUGUUAUUUUUGUUUUUUUAUUCUGAAUUCAUGGCUAAAUUUCUUUGGAUAGUGUUUUAUUUAGAUUUUAUGAACUAAUUUGCUUAUUUAGGAUUAUGUUGGAUUUCAAUGUGUAGUUUGAAUACUUGUUCUUCUAUUAUUUAUCAUUAAUGGUAUCGUUUUACUUGUUCAAAUCUUUUUUAAUGCCUUUAAUUGCCUGGUUAGUACUUGAUUGAUUUGUGAAUUUAAUUAAAACUUGACAAAGAGAUUUUAGGUUGGACUAAGAUUUGAAAAGUGUAUGUUCACGUCACUUAGGUGAUUUGAUUAGUGAUUCAAGUAGACAUACACCAAUUGCCAUACAUAACCCAAUUAGGACACUUGCUUAAUGAACUUAAUUUGAUUGACUCCUAUAGACAUAUAGUGAACUAAUUAAGUUAGGUAUUUGUACAAGCAUUUCGACGAAGACUUGUCUAUAACUUUGGAUUCUAGGUUAGUAAAACCACCCAGGAAAGAUAAAUAAUAAGAAAAGCUAUGUGAAACCUUAACCUCCAUAGAUGCGUAGCUAGAGGUAGACUGAUGAGUACAACAAACUCACAUAUUUAAUGGGAGAUUAAAUACCUAAUUAGUCUAAGUUGGACUAGAUUUAUGAUAGAAUUUUGGUAUUUUUAUAUAUUUUAUUAGUUUAGUUUAAUUUAUGUUUAAAUGUUUAUUUUAAGUCAAUGAUGUUUGUUUUACGUUAUUUAUAAUUAUUUUUUGUUUUUAUAGGAGUAGGAUCAAAAUAAUUUCAAUUGGUGAAGAAAGGUGCAUAAUGGACUGUUGCUCUAUUUGCAUAUAUUUUGGUUUUUCAAGAAUAUCUCUCACUAAAGGAGUCCAAAUGACAUGAUUUUUAGACCAUUAGAAAGUUAAGAGGUAGAGCUACAACUUUUAUGUUUACUACUUUACCCAGUUCUGAUCAAAAAGUGGUCAAAAUCUUUGUCAAAAUGAAAGUACUGCACUAGAAGAAUAAAAAAGGGCAUUUUUGUAAAUUAAGUGAAACUUUGAUUAACUUUAGAGAUAAAU
rnacentral:lncRNA from 1 species